ACUCCUACGGGAGGCAGCAGUGGGGAUAUUGCACAAUGGGCGCAAGCCUGAUGCAGCCAUGCCGCGUGUGUGAAGAAGGCCUUCGGGUUGUAAAGCACUUUCAGUUGUGAGGAAGGUGGUGUCGUUAAUAGCGGCAUUAUUUGACGUUAGCAACAGAAGAAGCACCGGCUAACUCCGUGCCAGCAGCCGCGGUAAUACGGAGGGUGCGAGCGUUAAUCGGAAUUACUGGGCGUAAAGCGCAUGCAGGUGGUUUGUUAAGUCAGAUGUGAAAGCCCGGGGCUCAACCUCGGAACUGCAUUUGAAACUGGCAGACUAGAGUACUGUAGAGGGGUGAGAAGUUUCAGGUGUAGCGGUGAAAUGCGUAGAGAUCUGAAGGAAUACCGGUGGCGAAGGCGGCCCCUGCGCAGAUACUGACACUCAGAUGCGAAAGCGUGGGGAGCAAACAGGAUUAGAUACCCUGGUAGACAUC
rnacentral:rRNA from 1 species